GGGAACCUGCAUCAGCUAUGCCGCGUGUGUGAAGAAGGCCUUCGGGUUGUAAAGCACUUUUGUCAGGAACGAAACGGUGGGGGCUAAUAUCUCCUGCUAAUGACGGUACCUGAAGAAUAAGCACCGGCUAACUACGUGCCAGCAGCCGCGGUAAUACGUAGGGUGCGAGCGUUAAUCGGAAUUACUGGGCGUAAAGCGUGCGCAGGCGGUUGUGCAAGACAGAUGUGAAAUCCCCGGGCUUAACCUGGGAAUUGCAUUUGUGACUGCACGGCUAGAGUGUGUCAGAGGGGGGUAGAAUUCCACGUGUAGCAGUGAAAUGCGUAGAUAUGUGGAGGAAUACCGAUGGCGAAGGCAGCCCCCUGGGAUAACACUGACGCUCAUGCACGAAAGCGUGGGGAGCAAACAGGAUUAGAUACCCUGGUAGUCCACGCCCUAAACGAUGUCUACUAGUUGUCGGGUCUUAACUGACUUGGUAACGCAGCUAACGCGUGAAGUAGACCGCCUGGGGAGUACGGUCGCAAGAUUAAAACUCAAAGGAAUUGACGGGGACCCGUACAAGCGGUGGAUGAUGUGGAUUAAUUCGAUGCGACGCGAAGAACCUUAGCUAGCCUUGACAUGUACGGAACCGUGCUGACAGGUGCGGGUGCUCGAAAGAGAGCCGUAGCACAGGUGCUGCUUGGCUGUCGUCAGCUCGUGUCGUGAGAUGUGG
rnacentral:rRNA from 1 species